UGAAGCCCUGGUACUGGCCCAGGACCCAAGGCCCAGCCUUUUUCUCUGCCUCUUAGAUUUAGUUCUGUGAACCAACACCCUGAGCAACAACAGGAAGGAGAACCUUUAACUGUUCCAAGGCUGAUGUUUGAUUAUGUGGAACUGGACUGCACAUUACAAAAUUCAGAUUGUUUUCAAAGAACAGCUGCUUCUGGUACACUUUUCAUGACAUAAUGAAGCCUAUAUGCCUCACAAAAGCCUCCCUCACUUUCAUCCACAGUCAGAAAAGUAUGCUCCUUCUCCCUAGACCCACAGGAUAGAAGGACACCAUGGGAGCAACAGUGAGUGAAGUCAAGUCCUCACCUUCUUGGAACACCUUCACCUUCUAGUGAAGAAAAAUAACAUCAGAACAGGCAAACACAAAGAAAAACGUAGAUUCAGAGACUAAAAAUGUUCAGCAAGGAAAGCAAACCAUGCCAAGGGGGGUGGCUAUAAAUCAGAGUGUUGUUCUGAUUGUAAAAAUUUACUGUUUGAGCCUCAAUUAAAGAAAUUUAUCAUUAUGAACACUUAGUGGUUCAUGUUCAACAUUCACACACAUCCCCUACUUUAAUUUUUACAAUAACUCUAUAGUAAUUUUAGGGUAAAGAUUCAAUAUGGUCUAACAGGUGAACAUCAAGUCUUGAACUAAAGGAUAGAGGG